GAUGAACGCUGGCGGCGUGCCUAAUACAUGCAAGUCGAGCGAACAGACGAGGAGCUUGCUCCUCUGACGUUAGCGGCGGACGGGUGAGUAACACGUGGAUAACCUACCUAUAAGACUGGGAUAACUUCGGGAAACCGGCGCUAAUACCGGAUAAUAUAUUGCACCGCAUGGUUCAAUAGUGAAAGACGGUUUUGCUGUCACUUAUAGAUGGAUCCGCGCCGCAUUAGCUAGUUGGUAAGGUAACGGCUUACCAAGGCAACGAUGCGUAGCCGACCUGAGAGAGUGAUCGGCGACACUGGAACUGAGACACGGUCCAGACUCCUACGGGAGGCAGCAGUAGGGAAUCUGCCGCAAUGGGCGAAAGCCUGACGGAGCAACGCCGAGUGAGUGAUGAAGGUCUUCGGAUCGUAAAACUCUGUUAUUAGGGAAGAACAAAUGUGUAAGUAACUAUGCACGUCUUGACGGUACCUAAUCAGAAAGCCACGGCUAACUACGUG
rnacentral:rRNA from 1 species